rnacentral:rRNA from 1 species
GACGAACGCUGGCGGCGUGCUUAACACAUGCAAGUCGAACGAAGUGGCGAACGGGUGAGUAACGUGUAAUCAACCUGCCUUUCAGAGGGGGACAACAGUUGGAAACGACGGCUAAUACCGCAUACUGAAGGAGGGGAUUGCGUCUGAUUAGCUAGUUGGUGGGGUAACGGCCCACCAAGGCGAUGGUCAGUAGGCGGUCUGAGGGGGUGGACGGGCAAAUUUGGACUGGAGCACGGCCCAAACUCCUACGGGGGUCAGCAGGGGGGAAUCUUCCGCAAUGGGCGAAAGUCUGACUGAGCAACGCCGCGUGAGUGAUGGCGGCCUUCGGGUUGUAAAGCUCUUUUAAUCGGGACGCGGUACCGGAAUAGAAAGCCACGGCUAACUACGUGCCAGCAGCCGCGGUAAUAC